AGUGAACGCUGGCGGUAGGCCUAACACAUGCAAGUCGAACGGCAGCACAGGAGAGCUUGCUCUCUGGGUGGCGAGUGGCGGACGGGUGAGGAAUACAUCGGAAUCUACUCUGUCGUGGGGGAUAACGUAGGGAAACUUACGCUAAUACCGCAUACGACCUACGGGUGAAAGCAGGGGACCUUCGGGCCUUGCGCGAUUGAAUGAGCCGAUGUCGGAUUAGCUAGUUGGCGGGGUAAAGGCCCACCAAGGCGAGGAUCCGUAGCUGGUCUGAGAGGAUGAUCAGCCACACUGGAACUGGGACACGGUCCAGACUCCUACGGGAGGCAGCAGUGGGGAAUAUUGGAGAAUGGGCGCAAGCCUGAUCCAGCCAUACCGCGUGGGUGAAGAAGGCCUUCGGGUUGUAAAGCCCUUUUGUUGGGAAAGAAAUCCAGCUGGCUAAUACCCGGUUGGGAUGACGGUACCCAAAGAAUAAGCACCGGCUAACUUCGUGCCAGCCGCCGCCGUAA
rnacentral:rRNA from 1 species